GGGGCUGAUUCUGGAUUCGACGGGAUUUGCGAAACCCAAGGUGCAUGCCGAGGGGCGGUUGGCCUCGUAAAAAGCCGCAAAAAAAUAGUCGCAAACGACGAAACCUACGCUUUAGCAGCUUAAUAACCUGCUUAGAGCCCUCUCUCCCUAGCCUCCGCUCUUAGGACGGGGAUCAAGAGAGGUCAAACCCAAAAGAGAUCGCGUGGAUGCCCUGCCUGGGGUUGAAGCGUUAAAACGAGUCAGGCUAGUCUGGUAGUGGCGUGUCCGUCCGCAGGUGCCAGGCGAAUGUAAAGACUGACUAAGCAUGUAGUACCGAGGAUGUAGGAAUUUCGGACGCGGGUUCAACUCCCGCCAGCUCCACCA
rnacentral:tmRNA from 1 species